UCAUACGGGCCAAGGUCUGAAUAGAGCCCGGACGCGGGUAUCCUAACUGUGGACAAUUUUUUCUCCGCUGCGAAGAACGACUGAGUCUGGGUAACAGGUGGACUAGGAUGGCGUCGUGUCUUUCAAAUUUUGUGGAAACCGAGCCUUCUGUCGUCGAGCCAAUGUAGGAUACGAUCAAUUGUGUGUAGAAGAACGUAUCAAGUCAAAGCUGUGGUUGUAGCAUCUUUCUGCUUUGCUCGUGAGCUGAUUAUUGAUAUCAGACAAGGUCUGUUAGCUGUGAAUACAAUUACAUUUAACUGAACGACUGGUGUAAUAGUGGUGAAGAUAUUCGUGUUUUGACUGGACUUGAGUUGCUUUUUGCUCCUAGCGCAAGAUCACUUACCAUGCUGGUCCAGCGUGCUCAGGAUUUCUCCUAAGGUGCUUGGCGAUUUCUUUGCCAACCCCAGAAGAUCCUCACGACCUAGCGGAAGGGUACAAGAGAGAGAGACAGGGAAACACAUCAGACAUAUGCAGCAAUAAAUAAGUUUUGAAACUGUACUUGGAACCAUACAAGUUACAGCAAUUGUUAAUAAAACGACUAUUGGCAAUACUAUUUAUAGUACAGAAAUGUGGUAAUAACCACUGUGAUAUCCUUGAAUAUUGACUACAAACAAGACUCGGGUAUUUAUUGAGUACAAUAUUUUGGUCUGGUAGCAACAGCAAACUUUGGUUGAGUGAGGAAGAAGUUUAAGCAACCUUUAGGCAACUAGGGCAGAUCCAAAAAUCAUUUGGGUCUGGAGGUUCAGCUAAGCCUGCACACCAGUAGUGCCACCAGCGCCAACACCCAGUGUUGUCAUAUCCAAUCCAGUCCUGUAGUCUUUUAAGUCAUCAGUUGCAUCGUCCUUGUUACAGCCCUGACAAAUGCUUUCUGCCUCGUUGGAUUUUGCUUUCUUUGCUGUAGUACGUUUAGUUGUUUUCCUCCUGGCUUUUGAUUGCUCUUUCCUCUCUUUCCUUAAAUUUCACUGUUUCUCACAUUGCUCAAGUAUUUGCAGGGCAUCAUCUGUUGUAAUAGACUGGCCAUAGUACUGUGGUUUGAUUCUGUCAGUUGUUUUUUGGGCAACAUAUUUGGCCUGAAAAUGCUCAGCAAAGAUAGUUGUCACUUUUGUUGUGAUAGGGGUUGCUGUGGUGCAUUCCUGAUGUGAACAUUCGCUAGACUGGAAAGGAACAGCUGUUUGGAGUCUGUCAUUUUAAUGACUGCUCUAUUCAGAGGAUAAAGCCCAGUUGCUCUAAAGCCACUGACCAGGUAUUCAGGCUUCAUGCUUUCUUGCCACAGCUGACUGAGAAGAGAGGAGAAAUUAUGCUUGGAGACUGCUGCACUACAGUAAGUAGUUUUGAACUCUUUCAGAAUUCUAGCCCAACUCUUUGACUGCUCCAAGCACACUCACAUCUAGAGGCUGAAGUAAGUGUGUGGUAUGAGGUGGUAAACAGUAUAGAAUGACAUUCUCACACCUUGCUCUAGUCACGAUAUCAACUAAUAUUUGUGAUCCAUGUCCAUCGCAAAACAGGACACUGACACCACUCUCACGCAACUCAGAGGUAAGGGGCAGGAACACAGAACUAAACCAUUCUGCAAAUUGAGUUUCUUCCAUCCAUCCAGACUUUCUCACUGUACAUGUGUAUCGAGCAUUUUAGGACCACCCACUGUCCAUCCUUUGUUGAACGUUUGUCCUUUGAAGACGACGUACGGACGACAAUAGGAAAUUACUGCUCCUAUUGCAGAGCCACAAGCUAAAACAGUGACAUUAUCUCUUUCAAAUCCACUCCCGAUUUUGUCACAACUCUGUCUCCUUUCCUGCAGAUUACUUUCUUAGAAACAACAGAUGUACACAGGCCAGUUUCAUCACAGUUCCACAUUCUACGUGCCACCUCACUGUAACUUUCCCCCACUAAACCUUGUCUCGUGAAGACGUCUGUCAGUUGAGCAAAACAUUUAUCAAUAACAGCAGGAGUGGCAGAAAGAGCUCGUUGCACAGUUAAAUGUCCUGGGUUUUUUCUCUGCUAACUCACUCCACCGUUUUAGGAAACCAGACCACCACUGGCAUGCCGUUGAAAGGACUGCUCCUCCCACACUGUUUCAGAUAAUAUUA